rnacentral:rRNA from 1 species
UACCAGCACCCCGAGUAGUCGGGACGUUUAUUGGGCCUAAAGCAUCCGUAGCCGGUUAUACAAGUCUUCCGUUAAAUCCACCUGCUUAACAGAUGGGCUGCGGAAGAUACUAUGGAGCUAGGAGGCGGGAGAGGCAAGCGGUACUCGAUGGGUAGGGGUAAAAUCCGUUGAUCCAUUGAAGACCACCAGUGGCGAAGGCGGCUUGCCAGAACGCGCUCGACGGUGAGGGAUGAAAGCUGGGGGAGCAAACCGG